UUUAAUUCGAUGCAACGCGAAGAACCUUACCUGGGCUUGACAUCCCGACGAAUCCCCUGGAAACAGGGGAGUGCCCUUCGGGGAGCUCGGAGACAGGUGCUGCAUGGCUGUCGUCAGCUCGUGUCGUGAGAUGUUGGGUUAAGUCCCGCAACGAGCGCAACCCUUGUCUUUAAUUGCCAUCAUUGAGUUGGGCACUUUAAAGAGACUGCCGGUGUUAAACCGGAGGAAGGUGGGGAUGACGUCAAGUCCUCAUGGCCUUUAUGCCCAGGGCUACACACGUGCUACAAUGGGUGGUACAAAGAGAGGUAAGCUCGCGAGGGUAAGCAAAUCUCAAAAAAGCCAAUCCUCAGUUCGGAUUGGAGUCUGCAACUCGACCCCAUGAAGUCGGAAUCGCUAGUAAUCGCGGAUCAGCAUGCCCGCGGUCGAAUACGUUCCGGCCUU
rnacentral:rRNA from 1 species